CUGUGAGGCGGGGAGGUGAGCCCUGAGGGGGCUCUUGCUUCUGGCACCAAGUGCCCGGCGGUACACCCGUCAAAGUGUAACGCAGGUGUCCUAAGGUGAGCUCAGGGAGGAUGGAAACCUCCCAUGGAGUAGAAGGGUAAAAGCUCACUUGAUCUUGAUUUUCAGUAUGAAUACAGAUCGUGAAAGCAAGGCCUCGUGAUCCUUCUGGCUUUUUGGGUUUUAAGCAGGAGGCGUCAGAAAAGUUACCACAGGGAUAACUGGUUUGUGGUGGCCAAGCGUUCAUAGCAAUGUUGCUUUUUGAUCCUUCAAUGUCAGCUCUUCCUAUCAUUGUGAAGCAGAAUUCACCAAGCAUUGGAUUGUUCACCCACUAAUAGGGAAUGUGAGCGGGGCUUAGACCGUCAUGAGACAGGUUAGCUUUACCCUACUGAUGAUGUGAUGUUGCAAUAGUAAUCCUGCUCAGUACGAGAGGCACCGCAGGUUCAGCCCCCUGAUGCGUGCGCUGGGCUGAGGAGCCACUGGUGUGAGGCUACCAUCUGCAGGCUUAUGACUGAAUGCCUCUAAGUCAGAAUCCCACCUACAUGUAGUGAUACCUUUUUUUUUUUUUUUUUUUGCCCUUUUUUUUUUUUUUUGCUGUCUCCAACUACCUGAAGGGAGGUUGUAGCCAGGUGGGGGCUGGUCUCUUCUCCCAGGCAACCAGCACCAGAACAAGAGGACACAGUCUCACGCUGCACCAGGGGAGGUUCAGGCU
rnacentral:ncRNA from 1 species